rnacentral:lncRNA from 1 species
ACAGUUAACCAGGGCACGCCCUGAGAAGGGACAGGGUUGGGGCUACAGCCUUGGUAUUGGGAAGGUUCAGUUCUUCACCCUAUAUUGAACUUUCUUAUGAGGUCAAGAUGUGUAGAUGAAGGUUCUGGUCUGAGAUCUUAAAAAGGGAGAAGUCUAAUAUCACCCACACAUUCCUGUCUUCUUUCCUUCAACUGUGCCCUCAUACUGGCUCCUUGAUCUGAGUUAUAUCUAUCCUAUUCAAGUAGGAGCCUCUGAAACUCUCUCUCAAUCCCUGGACAAGAUCAGAAGGAAAAAGGAAGCAUGGCUCCAGAAGAACAAAGAAGACACAAUGGCAAUAAAUUUUUGAAGCUAGAAAUUAGACACAAAAGUGGUAACUCACUUGGCAGCUCAUGGAAAGCACACAUAGGAAGCAAGAUUGAAAGCCUGGAUAGUGUCCUUGAAAUAGCUAAUUCAUCAUGCAGAACCUGAGAUUUUGGAAACAUCAGGUGAUGAUCAAUGUGCAGAUAUGGGAAGGUCCAAAACAAGGAGAAUUGGUUGAAGCAGUUAGAUCUCUAGAUGCCCUCUUCACCCCACAUAGACAAUCAACUACCUGAGCAUUAAUAUAAAACAGGAGAUUUAUUUUCCGGAGGGGAUGAAGCAAAGGGACUCUGAACUGGGAACACCAAGUUGAAAGUGUGAAUCCUAUACUGAAAACAGGAUUAAGUGAUGAAGUGAUGCUCUUCCUGCUAAUGAUGAAAAUGCUAGAACCAGUUUUGGCCAAACAGGUUUAUAAUCCUCUUUUUUUUUUUUCAGAUGGAGUCUCGCUCUGUCACCCAGGCUGGAGUGCAGUGGUGCGAUCUUGGCUUACUGCUCCGCCUCCCGGGUUCGCGCCAUUCUCCUGCCUCAGCCUCUGAAGUAGCUGGGACUACAAGUGCCCACCACAAUGCCUGGCUAACUUUUGUAUUUUUAGUAGAGAUGGGGUUUCACCAUGUUAGCCAGGACGGUCUCGAUCUCCUGACCUCGUGAUCUGCCCG